rnacentral:rRNA from 1 species
GGUUAAGCGACUAAGCGUACACGGUGGAUGCCCUGGCAGUCAGAGGCGAUGAAGGACGUGCUAAUCUGCGAUAAGCGCCGGUAAGGUGAUAUGAACCGUUAUAACCGGCGAUUUCCGAAUGGGGAAACCCAGUGUGAUUCGUCACACUAUCAUUAACUGAAUCCAUAGGUUAAUGAGGCGAACCGGGGGAACUGAAACAUCUAAGUACCCCGAGGAAAAGAAAUCAACCGAGAUUCCCCCAGUAGCGGCGAGCGAACGGGGAGGAGCCCAGAGCCUGAAUCAGCAUGUGUGUUAGUGGAAGCGUCUGGAAAGGCGCGCGAUACAGGGUGACAGCCCCGUACACAAAAGCGCAUGUGCUGUGAGCUCGAUGAGUAGGGCGGGACACGUGGUAUCCUGUCUGAAUAUGGGGGGACCAUCCUCCAAGGCUAAAUACUCCUGACUGACCGAUAGUGAACCAGUACCGUGAGGGAAAGGCGAAAAGAACCCCGGCGAGGGGAGUGAAAAAGAACCUGAAACCGUGUACGUACAAGCAGUGGGAGCACAGGUUUACCUGUGUGACUGCGUACCUUUUGUAUAAUGGGUCAGCGACUUAUAUUCUGUAGCAAGGUUAACCGUAUAGGGGAGCCGUAGGGAAACCGAGUCUUAACCGGGCGUUAAGUUGCAGGGUAUAGACCCGAAACCCGGUGAUCUAGCCAUGGGCAGGUUGAAGGUUGGGUAACACUAACUGGAGGACCGAACCGACUAAUGUUGAAAAAUUAGCGGAUGACCUGUGGCUGGGGGUGAAAGGCCAAUCAAACCGGGAGAUAGCUGGUUCUCCCCGAAAGCUAUUUAGGUAGCGCCUCGUGAAUUCAUCUCCGGGGGUAGAGCACUGUUUCGGCUAGGGGGCCAUCCCGGCUUACCAACCCGAUGCAAACUGCGAAUACCGGAGAAUGUUAUCACGGGAGACACACGGCGGGUGCUAACGUCCGUCGUGAAGAGGGAAACAACCCAGACCGCCAGCUAAGGUCCCAAAGUCAUGGUUAAGUGGGAAACGAUGUGGGAAGGCCCAGACAGCCAGGAUGUUGGCUUAGAAGCAGCCAUCAUUUAAAGAAAGCGUAAUAGCUCACUGGUCGAGUCGGCCUGCGCGGAAGAUGUAACGGGGCUAAACCAUGCACCGAAGCUGCGGCAGCGAACGUAUCACCCAAGACAACUUUACGGAGUUGACGAUUGACGGAGCGAAGCGACGUCAAAGCGUUCAUUAAAGUCGAGUUGGCUUAGGGAUACGUUCGUUGGGUAGGGGAGCGUUCUGUAAGCCUGUGAAGGUGUGUCGUGAGGCAUGCUGGAGGUAUCAGAAGUGCGAAUGCUGACAUAAGUAACGAUAAAGCGGGUGAAAAGCCCGCUCGCCGGAAGACCAAGGGUUCCUGUCCAACGUUAAUCGGGGCAGGGUGAGUCGACCCCUAAGGCGAGGCCGAAAGGCGUAGUCGAUGGGAAACGGGUUAAUAUUCCCGUACUUGGUGUUACUGCGAAGGGGGGACGGAGAAGGCUAUGUUGGCCGGGCGACGGUUGUCCCGGUUUAAGCGUGUAGGUGUGUGUUCCAGGUAAAUCCGGUUCACUUUAACACUGAGGCGUGACGACGAGGCACUACGGUGCUGAAGCAACAAAUGCCCUGCUUCCAGGAAAAGCCUCUAAGCAUCAGGUAACACGAAAUCGUACCCCAAACCGACACAGGUGGUCAGGUAGAGAAUACCAAGGCGCUUGAGAGAACUCGGGUGAAGGAACUAGGCAAAAUGGUGCCGUAACUUCGGGAGAAGGCACGCUGACACGUAGGUGAAGUGAUUUACUCAUGGAGCUGAAGUCAGUCGAAGAUACCAGCUGGCUGCAACUGUUUAUUAAAAACACAGCACUGUGCAAACACGAAAGUGGACGUAUACGGUGUGACGCCUGCCCGGUGCCGGAAGGUUAAUUGAUGGGGUCAGCGCAAGCGAAGCUCCUGAUCGAAGCCCCGGUAAACGGCGGCCGUAACUAUAACGGUCCUAAGGUAGCGAAAUUCCUUGUCGGGUAAGUUCCGACCUGCACGAAUGGCGUAAUGAUGGCCAGGCUGUCUCCACCCGAGACUCAGUGAAAUUGAACUCGCUGUGAAGAUGCAGUGUACCCGCGGCAAGACGGAAAGACCCCGUGAACCUUUACUAUAGCUUGACACUGAACAUUGAGCCUUGAUGUGUAGGAUAGGUGGGAGGCUUUGAAGUGUGGACGCCAGUCUGCAUGGAGCCGACCUUGAAAUACCACCCUUUAAUGUUUGAUGUUCUAACGUGGACCCGUAAUCCGGGUUGCGGACAGUGUCUGGUGGGUAGUUUGACUGGGGCGGUCUCCUCCUAAAGAGUAACGGAGGAGCACGAAGGUUGGCUAAUCCUGGUCGGACAUCAGGAGGUUAGUGCAAUGGCAUAAGCCAGCUUGACUGCGAGCGUGACGGCGCGAGCAGGUGCGAAAGCAGGUCAUAGUGAUCCGGUGGUUCUGAAUGGAAGGGCCAUCGCUCAACGGAUAAAAGGUACUCCGGGGAUAACAGGCUGAUACCGCCCAAGAGUUCAUAUCGACGGCGGUGUUUGGCACCUCGAUGUCGGCUCAUCACAUCCUGGGGCUGAAGUAGGUCCCAAGGGUAUGGCUGUUCGCCAUUUAAAGUGGUACGCGAGCUGGGUUUAGAACGUCGUGAGACAGUUCGGUCCCUAUCUGCCGUGGGCGCUGGAGAACUGAGGGGGGCUGCUCCUAGUACGAGAGGACCGGAGUGGACGCAUCACUGGUGUUCGGGUUGUCAUGCCAAUGGCACUGCCCGGUAGCUAAAUGCGGAAGAGAUAAGUGCUGAAAGCAUCUAAGCACGAAACUUGCCCCGA